CGCUAGCGGCAGGCCUAACACAUGCAAGUCGAGGGGUAACAGGGAAGCUUGCUUCCGCUGACGACCGGCGCACGGGUGCGUAACGCGUAUACAAUCUACCUUUUGCUGUGGGAUAGCCCAGAGAAAUUUGGAUUAAGACCACAUGGUAUUAAGACAUGGCAUCAUGAUUUAAUUAAAGGUUACGGCAAAAGAUGAGUAUGCGUCCUAUUAGCUAGAUGGUGUGGUAACGGCACACCAUGGCAACGAUAGGUAGGGGUCCUGAGAGGGAGAUCCCCCACACUGGUACUGAGACACGGACCAGACUCCUACGGGAGGCAGCAGUGAGGAAUAUUGGACAAUGGGCGCAAGCCUGAUCCAGCCAUGCCGCGUGCAGGAAGACGGCCCUAUGGGUUGUAAACUGCUUUUAUACAGGAAGAAACACCUCCUCGUGAGGGGGCUUGACGGUACUGUAAGAAUAAGGAUCGGCUAACUCCGUGCCAGCAGCCGCGGUAAUACGGAGGAUCCAAGCGUUAUCCGGAAUCAUUGGGUUUAAAGGGUCCGUAGGUGGACUACUAAGUCAGAGGUGAAAUCCCACAGCUUAACUGUGGCACUGCCUUUGAUACUGGUGGUCUUGAGUCAUUAUGAAGUGGUUAGAAUAUGUAGUGUAGCGGUGAAAUGCUUAGAUAUUACAUAGAAUACCGAUUGCGAAGGCAGAUCACUAAUAAUGUACUGACACUGAUGGACGAAAGCGUGGGUAGCGAACAGGAUUAGAUACCCUGGUAGUCCACGCCGUAAACGAUGG
rnacentral:rRNA from 1 species